GGAGGGGUAGCUCGGUGGGAGAGCACACGCUUGGCACGCGUGGGGUCCUGGGUUCAAGCCCCAGCACCUCCU
rnacentral:tRNA from 1 species